UACGUAGGGUGCAAGCGUUGUCCGGAAUUAUUGGGCGUAAAGAGCUCGUAGGCGGUCUGUCGCGUCUGCUGUGAAAACUCGGGGCUUAACCCCGGGCCUGCAGUGGGUACGGGCAGACUAGAGGCAGGUAGGGGAGAAUGGAAUUCCCGGUGUAGCGGUGAAAUGCGCAGAUAUCGGGAGGAACACCGGUGGCGAAGGCGGUUCUCUGGGCCUGACCUGACGCUGAGGAGCGAAAGCGUGGGGAGCGAACAGG
rnacentral:rRNA from 1 species